GAUGAAGAACGUAGCGAAAUGCGAUAAGUAAUGUGAAUUGCAGAAUUCCGUGAAUCAUCGAAUCUUUGAACGCACAUUGCGCCCGCUGGUAUUCCGGCGGGCAUGCCUGUUCGAGCGUCAUUUCAACCCUCAAGCUCUCCGGAGUUUGGUGUUGGGGCGCCUGGGGCUUUUCGACCUCAGGGCCCUCAAGUCCAUCGGCGGGACCGCCAGGACACUGAGCGCAGUAGUAUUAUUUCGCUCGGUAGGAUCUUCCACGGCGGGUCGAUCUGGCCGCUAAACCCCCCAAUUCUCACCAAAGGUUGACCUCGGAUCAGGUAGGAAUACCCGCUGAACUUAAGCAUAUCAAUAAGCGGAGGA
rnacentral:misc_RNA from 1 species